AUUGAACGCUGGCGGCAGGCCUAACACAUGCAAGUCGAAUGGUAACAGGAAACAGCUUGCUGUUUCGCUGACGAGUGGCGGACGGGUGAGUAAUGUCUGGGAAACUGCCUGAUGGAGGGGGAUAACUACUGGAAACGGUAGCUAAUACCGCAUAACGUCGCAAGACCAAAGAGGGGGACCUUCGGGCCUCUUGCCAUCAGAUGUGCCCAGAUGGGAUUAGCUAGUAGGUGGGGGAACGGCUCACCUAGGCGACGAUCCCUAGCUGGUCUGAGAGGAUGACCAGCCACACUGGAACUGGGCCACGGUCCAGACUCCUACGGGAGGCAGCAGUGGGGAAUAUUGCACAAUGGGCGCAAGCCUGCUGCAGCCAUGCCGCGUGUAUGAAGAAGGCCUUCGGGUUGUAAAGUACUUUCAGCGGGGAGGAAGGGAGUAAAGUUAAUACCUUUGCUCAUUGACGUUACCCGCAGAAGAAGCACCGGCUAACUCCGUG
rnacentral:rRNA from 1 species